UUCAAUUGGGAAAAAGUUGUUUUGCUAUAAUUAAGGGAGAGGAAAUUAUGCUUCAUCUCAAAUCUAUAAGCUUAGAUCGUGAGGUUUUAAUCAUUUAGUCAAGGAUAUAUAUGAAUUUCAUGUUGGAAUGGCUCAACAUAAGGAAAUUCUGUAUAUGGGUCCAUUAUUUGCGUUCUAAAAUUCGAUUAUGAUUACGGCAUCCCUUUUCAUAAUCUGAAUUAUGAGAACUUGGCAAAUUGAAAUGGAAAUAUUAUAGCAAAAGACUGGUUUAGUCUUUAUGUGAGACAUCAUGAAUCGUGUCCCAUAUGCUUCGGAUAUAGGAUCGAUUACAUGUGCUAUAUUCAUCCGUUCUAAAAUUUUCCAAAUGCCUGGGGCAUUAAGAAGGGAAAAGGUUUAGAACUGGAUAUGACUAAAAGGAUUAAACAAUUGUCGAGGACAAUCUAAGGUUUACCAAAGAUUGGUUGCUCAAGGACAAUUGGAAGUAUAGUGAUAAUUCUGGAAGGACCAUAUUGACAUAAUCUGUAAGGAGGCAACUCUUGUUCAGAAGUGAUAGUCAAAAUGGAAUCUGGAAAUGUUUCAAAGUUAGAAUUUUCAAUCUGUGUAAGAUUAAGGAAACUUAAUGCAAGAAGGAUAUUUCCAAGGAGUUGAUCUCCUUUGGAAUACUCUGUAAUGAUUGUUGCCAAGUCUUUGUGACUUUGUGCAUAAUCAUUACAAGAGGAUCAAUGCAUAUAAGUUUAGAAUCUAACAGAUUUCAGUAAAUGGCAUGAAUUUGGAAUUCUUGCAUUUGCAGUAAGGAUUUGGGAGUGUGAAAAGAGAAUCAUUGAAGUUAUGUUCAAUUGAUCUAGUUCACAAAGUAAAGAUCAUAGACAAACAUAGUAUGCAUACUUGGUGUGUGGCAUGACUAGUGUUUAAGAAAACAUAGUGUACAUGCUUGGAGCAUGGGACAACUAUUGUUUUAAAUUCAAGAAUAAAGUUGAUAGCUGAAACAGUAUACAAUGAAUAAUGUGUAAUCAUAUGGUGAUAAAUAAAAGGUGUUUUAUUUAUGUUCAAAGGGUUGAUACCAUAUUGGAUUCAAUUAUUAUUGUGUUUCAUUUUGCAUGUUUUGACUUCCCGAAUAAACUGGGUUAUUCUUCCGGAAUGACUAAGUUAUUCAAACCAUCCACAGUCGGUCAUAUGUUGGAAGUAGAUAUGAAUUAAGACUGUCAUGGGUUGGCUUGUAGAGGUCUAAGGUGUUGGACAAAGGGCUACAACACUCAUGAGUGCUCAUAAGUUCUGAGUAUUGGAUUCAACCCGCGCUCAUUGGAAUCACUUCAUGGAUUUUAUCACGAGUGAUCAUGAGACGAUAAUAUCUUAUAUUCUUCAAACCUAGAGAUAUGAGUUGUUACUAUGAGUUGAUAGUACAUUGAUUGCACGAAAACGCAUUUGGUAACUCGGUGCUAUAAAACGUGCCUUUGUGUAUGAUUCAACAAGUAGUAGAACAAGCCAUAUGAGUCGAAGUUUAUCCAUUCCUUUUACCUUCGGGAUAAAAGCGAUAUCUGUGGGCCCCUCGAUGAUUUGAUGAUGACAAAUGGAAGUGCUCGGCCGGGCCAGGACUGAUUUGAUUUGUUCAAUUAGUCAGUCGUCAUAAAUCGGAAAUCGGGAAACAACAAAUGGACAGAGAGAAUGAUUAUAAUCCAUGUCUCAGUCCAUAUGAUAUCUAGAAUGGAGGAAUAUAUGAUCCCUUAUCUAAUGGACAAGUCAUUGACAAAGGUCAGAGUUCAUCUACAAGGUCAGAGUUCGACAGAAGCUUUUGAGAGCUACGAUUGCCAGUUGGUUCCUGAAGUCAUACGCAAUAAUAGUUUUAGACUUAUCCAAGUGGGAGACUGUUGGAUUAAUGUCUAAGUCCAUAACUAUAAUUGGUAAGACUUGACCCGACCCGGCAUGGUCCAUUUGGGUUGCAUACCAUCAUGCACUUGGAUAGACUAUAAUGAGAGAAAUAAGACACUUAUGGUUAUUAAUAUAUUAUAAGUUCUAGUAUAUUAAUAAUAAGAAUAAUAAGAUUAUUUAAUUAGUAUUGAUCAAGAAUUAAUCUAGGAUUAAUUAAGUGAUCAAAAGAAGACUAAUUAAAUAUAUGGGUUGAUUGUGUAAAUCAUCCAUACUUGUAUAGUGGGCUAAUGCUCCAUGGAUAAUCAAGUUGGGCUAAAACCCAUAGGAUGGUCCAUGGAUGCUCCAUGGUGUAUUUGUACCCAUGGAUCCAAGGAAAUGGAAAGCCAUGACAAUUAAGAGUUUACCCUAAUUGUGUAACUAUAUAAGCAUCUUAUUAUUGAGGAAAAAUCGGCCACUAGUAGUAUUCAAGAAAGGGCUAGCCGAUUUUGGUGAGUGUAGAAUUCUCUCAAGUCAUUCUAAGUGUUUUGAUGAUUGUGAUUCCAUUUGAGGUGUCACACUUGGGGCACUAAGCACUCAAGCUUCAUGAAGACUUUCUACAUCAAGAGGUAUGUAUUCUAUCUUGUUACAUUAUUGUUUUGUAUGCUAGAUUAGGAUAAUACCUUGGAAGUUCUUAUUUGCAUGUAUAAUAGAGAAAACAUAGAUCCAAGGUAUUUAGGGUUGCAUGUACACUUAGGAGUGUUAGAAUGCUCAAAACCCAACAGUGGUAUCAGAGCCUAGGCUUGUUUUCUUGUUAUACCUGCAAUAGAAGCUGAAAAAACGAAUCUGGUGCUGUCUGGCCAUCAGACUCGGCGAGUCCAUCAGGAGACUCGACGAGUCCAUGCCUAAAAAGUGAUGAAUUCGAUCCAACUCGCCGAGUUUGUUCAUGCACUCGACGAGUUGGACCCCCAGACAGCAUAUUUUCGAGUUUUUUGGCUAGAAAUGGACUAGGAACAUUACCCUAAGUUGUUUUUGAACUUAUAAACUUGUUUUUGAUGUGGUAAUGUUCAUGCUAAUCCAUUUUCAAAGAUAAUUGUCAAUAGAUUCAUGUUUUGUAUUAGUUUAAGGUUUAGACUAAUUACAUGAAAAAGUUUGAUUUGAAUUAUCUUGUUCUUAUGAGUUGCUUAGAUUAAUAGAAAUGUUGAGUGAAAUAGUUGUUUUCAAUCCAUUUUAAUCUAAGAGUUGAGUAUAAAAUGUGUUUGUGUAACUUGUCCUCAAGUUACAUGAAGAGUCACAUUAAAGACUCAUAAAACUCAUAAGAGUUGGCAAUGGUUACAAAAUGAAGAGUCUUGUGUCAUUGAAUAAUUUUUUUUGACUCCAUAACUUGUCCUCAAGUUAUGGAAGUUCAAGAGUCACUUCAUUAAAGAAAAAUAUGUAACCAUAAUUAAAUCCAUAAGUUAUAAAAUAAAGAAAAAGUUAGUUCUUUUAUUAGUUUAAAGUCUUCCAUAACUUGUCCUCAAGUUAUGGAACUUGAAGAGUUUUUGGAUUAAAACUACUUUAAACACAUAAGUUAUGGAAUUAAUUAGUUUUGAAUAGUUUCAAAACUUGCCCUCAAGUUUUGGAAUUUGAAAAGUUUUCAAGUAUGAAUACUUUAAUUCCAAGUUAGCCCUUAGAAUUUUAAAAGUUAAAAUUCAACCCUUAUACUUUAUAAUAUUAUAAGUUAAUAAUAUAUAUAUGUAUAAGAGUAAAGUCAGUCUUACCGCUAGUACGCCUCAUUCACGAAGCCGGUCUAUAAGGUGGGUAUAAGGUUGUUGCCUAUAAAAUGGCAACUUAAUGGGUGUCCACUCUCACCCACCGCUUGCUUGACUGGUGGAGGGUCGUUAGCCGAACGGGUUUGACAGGACUAGAAUUCUCCCUUCAUUAAAAGUAUUAAUGAUAAUACUAAGUAACUAAACUCUUAAUAAUACCCAAUCUUAGUUACUUAGGAAAAAUGUGAAUAAGGUGCUAAUCCAUGAAAUUACACUUUACACUUUGUCUAAGUCGUUAGUGGAGCGUGUGUGGUUAACCGGCACACUAACUUGGACUUAACAAGGUAGGUAAAGGGUGACUUAAUAUUUAUCAUAGUAUCGAUGGAGCGUGUGUGGUUAACCGGCACAUCGAUUGAGGGGUAAUUUAUUAAGGGUACCAAGUGAUUUGCAUGGUUACUUCACACCUUGUUUUGUGAUCCUCGGCAUCCCAGUCACAAAACCUGAAGGGCACACUCGAGAUUGAAACAUGCCUUUGAAAAGUUCAAUGAAUCUCAAAGAUCUAGGAGUUUCAAAACCAAUUAAAACCUAAUAAUACAUUUCGUUUAUCUUGGUGGAAAUUGGUGAAUCGUCAUUCACCUACCUUCAAAUAUUUUAUAGCUUGGAUUACGGCAUACCUCUUCUAAGUUAUAAAAUAGUUUGUUGGGUCCUAGCCUUAAUAUUUCAUAUUGGGUGUCAUAUUAAGGACUUUAAAUCAACUAUCUUGAAUAUCUCCCAAAAGAUGUCUGGUUUAGACACCUAUGAUCUUCCCAAAUCUCUUGAAACAAGGUUUCCUAAUGAAGAUGAUGUCCCAUGGAUAUCAUACUUCUUCACCUCUUCAAAUUAUUCUCCCUAACCCACAAGUUCUUGAAAAGUUUAAGGUCACUCAGGCCCUAUUGGCAAGGCAAGGUCUAGGUGUGGUCACAUCUUGGAGAUGUAGUCACAUAUUGACAAGCCGGGAGAGUUGGGUGUCAAAGUCUUGAGAAAGUUGGUGGUUCAACCACUUUCUAAGUCACAUAGUGAGUUCCUUUGGGACACCUAUGAAACAGACUAUGACAAGACCCUUAAUGAUCUUAUCUAUUUGCUAAGAUCAACUUCCUAAAACUUUAUGGACAUUGACAAUGAUGACAUUGGAUAUCCAGUAAAGCAUUCUCUUCCCAAUGGAAAGGGAUCGGCCAUAGUCAACUCGGUUGACCAAAUGGUAAAGAGAAAAGCUAAGUCUGUGAUAGUCCCGUGUACCAUUAUCAAAGGGUCCAUAUGUUUAUAUUGCCAAAGGAAGGGGCAUUGGUUGCGAAGCUGCCAAAUUUACCUAAGGAUGUUAAAGUCAAUAAGUUUGACUCUACUUCAGGUAAAGUCCACUAUCUAACUCUGUUAAGUUUCUAUUCUGAGAUUCUUGAUACAUGAUGUGACUGGGUCACAUGGUGAUGUUUUAAGAAUCAAAGAAAAGUGAAGAAACUUAAAGAAAGAAUAUGCUGAAUCUGAUGGCGUAGAUGGAUUUCUAUCGCAUAGUUUGAAGAUCGGAUUCUUGAGCUACUUCUUAGGAGUUAUGAGAUAUUGCUUAGGAAUAGAUAACAACAAGUUUUCAUAUGGAUUGUAAGGAUAAGUUUUUCCGCAAAGUUUUAAAAUAAAAGAAAAUUUUUUAUAUUUUAUUUAUUUUAAAAUAUCCUUACAAUGGCAUUUGAGGAAAAAUUGUUGCUUAUAUGAUUCCAUUAAGAGCAAGAGUGGAAAUAUGAAAUUGAUUCUUUCAUUUGUGGUAAUGUCUAAAUUUACCAAAUAAGGAAAGAUUCUCAUCACCCAAGUUUCAAUUGGACCGGAACUUGGAAUCAUGCAAGUUGUAUAGCAUGAUGAAUGAGAACUUUCAAGUUUUGGAAAAUUAAGACUAAUUACUUGUUCACAUGGAUGUGUGAGUCAAGUAAAGGACUUAGGGAUCGAGUACACAUUCUUGUGCACUGAUUAAGUCCACCACUAAAGAUCGAUAAGAAGAAUCAAAUAAGGCAGAAGGAUAAAAGUUUCUCAAAUCUGAAAAGAUGGGAGAGUACUUUAGUAUCAGUUUUGUGAUCAUCUUAAUGAUUAAGAAACCAUAUCAAAAUUAGUUCUCUAAGGAAAUCUUAGUGCAUUCUUAUGACUAAGAAGAGGAACUUGAAUUGUUGAAAUGGUUAAAUCAAGAAGAUGAGUCAUACUUCGUUCCAAUACAAGUCUUAGAGUCAUACUCCAAGAUUGUCAUUUGAGUGACAUGUCUUAAAGAAGGUUUAAAACACUUGUCAAAUGUAAGAGUAAAAGUUUUCUACUCUUGUACAUUUGAAAUUGGUAAGUUGUGAUGUUUUGGAUAAAACAAAGACCAACUUAGGCCAAUUGGGUAAAGUGUUUUUCUUGAUUAGAAUCCGCACUAUCUCUUGGAUGUUUGACAAGGGAGUCUUAUAUGUCAAGAGGACAGUGGGAGUCUUAAAGGUCUUGAAAGUCUCAAGAAAUAAUCAAGAAUAAAACCUAAAGUUCUUCACUAGCACACGACUUGAGGUUUAUAACCUAUCGUGUUGACAUAUCUGUGCCCAUUCCAGUUAAAGUUGGCUUUGCAUAUGAGUUCUUAGAGUUCUCAGUUUGUUGCAUAACAACUUGGAAGCAAUGGCAGGCCCUUGAGCUGCCAGGUGGCAAGAAGUUAAGAUUGAGUUCAAUCCAUAUGGUUUUGGAUUUGUCAUUAUCUUUGUCUUGUGAUUAUGGUUUGACAAAUUCAUAUGGGUAGGAACUCAUACACCAUAUAAAUCUAAGUGUCAUAAGGUUUCUCUCCGAUUCAUGAAAAUGAUGGUGAGGAAACGCUUUCACUAAGUAGAUUUUACGAAGAUAUCAAUUGUGUUAUUUGCAUUUUCAAAAGUCGUUAGUGGAGCGCGUGUGGUUAACCGGCACACUAACAUGGACUUGUGAGAAAUGGCAAAUGCCUAAGCAAUUGAGACCAUGAUUACGGUAUCCCUUUUCAUGGUUCUUGAAAUUGCUUAGACACACAGGUGAGCUAUCUACGGAAAGGGUGUAUGAAUCUAAAUUUCAGACUGUCCAGCUGAUUUCUGAGUACAUGUCAAAGCUAGUGGGAGCAUAAGUGUUAUGCUAAUAAUCAUCAUGUUAGUGGGAGCAUGAUAAUUAUGAUAAGUAUUGCAAGUUAGCAAUGUUAAUUAUAGAAAACAAAAGUUUCAAUUGGGAAAAAGUUGUUUUGCUAUAAUUAAGGGAGAGGAAAUUAUGCUUCAUCUCAAAUCUAUAAGCUUAGAUCGUGAGGUUUUAAUCAUUUAGUCAAGGAUAUAUAUGAAUUUCAUGUUGGAAUGGCUCAACAUAAGGAAAUUCUGUAUAUGGGUCUAUUAUUUUCUUUCUCAAAUUCGAUUAUGAUUACGACAUCCCUUUUCAUAAUAUGAGUUAUGAGAACGUGGCAAAUUGAAAUUAAAAUAUUAUAGCAAAAGACUGGUUUAGUCGUUAUGUGAGAUAUCAUGAAUCGUGUCCCAUAUGCUUCGGAUAUAGGAUCGAUUACUUGUGCUAUAUUCAUCCUUUCAAAAAAUUUCCAAAUGCCUGGGGCAUUAAGAAGGGAAAAGGUCUAGAAUUGGAUAUGACUCAAAGGAUUAAACAAUUGUCGAGGACAAUCUAAAGUUUACCAAAUAUUGGUUGCUCAAGGCCAAUUGGAAGUAUAGUGAUAAUUCUGGAAGGACCAUAUUGACAUAAUCUAUAAGGAGGCAACUCUUGUGCAGAAGUGAUAGUCAAAAUGGAAUCUGAAAAUGUUUCAAAGUUAGAAAUAAUUCAUGUUGUGUAAGAUUAGGAAACUUAAUGCAAGAAGGAUGUUUCCAAGGAGCUGAUCUCCUUUGGAAUGCUUUGUAAUGGUUGUUGUCAAGUCUUUCUGACUUUGUGCAUAAUCAUUACACGAGGAUCAAUGCAUAUAAGUUUAGAAUCUAACAGAUUUCAGUAAAUGGCAUGAAUUUGGAAUUCUUGCAUUUGCAGUAAGGAUUUGGGACUAUGAAAAGAGGAUCAUUGGAGUUAUGUUCAAUUGAUCUAUUUCACAAAGUAAAGAUCAUAGACAAACAUAGUAUGCAUACUUGGUGUAUGGCAUGACUAGUGUUUAGAAAACAUAGUGUACAUGCUUGGAGCAUGGG
rnacentral:lncRNA from 1 species